rnacentral:misc_RNA from 1 species
AAGUCGUAACAAGGUAACCGUAGGUGAACCUGCGGUUGGAUCAUUAAUGAAGGCUUUUAUGCCAAACCAGCUUUUUUAAGCUGACCCACCUUGUGUGAACCGUUAAAAUGUUUUUAGGCGGAGAGGGUUUUUUAAGUUGGGGUUUGAAUACUUCUUCUUCUUUAAUCCAAAGUCUUUAAUUAGAUAACAUCUCCGCCUACUGCUAUUUUCUUGAAAAAGAAGAUGGCAAAACAAAAACAAACCUUUUAUUGUCUUUCAAAUUAUAAAUCUAAACAAAUUUUUACAUUCUAAAAUAAAAUUUCGAAUGAAAAAACAACUUUUGACAACGGAUCUCUUGGCUCUC